rnacentral:rRNA from 1 species
GAUGAACGCUGGCGGCGUGCCUAAUACAUGCAAGUCGAGCGAACAGACGAGGAGCUUGCUCCUCUGACGUUAGCGGCGGACGGGUGAGUAACACGUGGAUAACCUACCUAUAAGACUGGGAUAACUUCGGGAAACCGGAGCUAAUACCGGAUAAUAUAUUGAACCGCAUGGUUCAAUAGUGAAAGACGGUUUUGCUGUCACUUAUAGAUGGAUCCGCGCCGCAUUAGCUAGUUGGUAAGGUAACGGCUUACCAAGGCAACGAUGCGUAGCCGACCUGAGAGGGUGAUCGGCCACACUGGAACUGAGACACGGUCCAGACUCCUACGGGAGGCGGCAGUAGGGAAUCUUCCGCAAUGGGCGAAAGCCUGACGGAGCAACGCCGCGUGAGUGAUGAAGGUCUUCGGAUCGUAAAACUCUGUUAUCAGGGAAGAACAAAUGUGUAAGUAACUAUGCACGUCUUGACGGUACCUAAUCAGAAAGCCACGGCUAACUACGUG